GUGUCCCUCUCCUUUUCCUAGGCUGGUGCGCCCUGCGGUACUGCGGGAUUCCCGACUCUUGGCCCGGGGCUACGAGCGGGGGCUGCCACACUGAUGGCGGCGUUUGGGGAAUUAGGUUUUUUGGCCCAAGUUGAGCUCCUUCGUUUCUCUUUGUGUGAGUGGGUCCGCGAGGCUGACAGCCGCCGCCCUGCCUGCGCGGUUGUUUUCGGUGUGGGAACCACUGGAGGCGCGCGCCGCGGCGGGAGAGUUGGUGGCGGGGACUGAGGACAAGCUGGAGGUCGGACCCUGACCAAUCCCCGUCCCAUCCCGGACCCUUCUCCCUUUUUCUGAAGCGCACAGCCAGGGCUCGGAGAGUCGCUGGGCCCGGGAGCAGUUGCUAGACAGAAAAAAGUGAAACGAACAUCAAUUGAGGAAAUGGUGGUGUACAAGAAGAAAAUCGCCGUUGGGCCUGACCCGCUAUUUCUCUUGCACAGGGGAGCCUGGGCAGUUGACCCUGGCCUUGGCAGAAAAAUGGCCUGCUUCUUGGGCUGUGCCUCUUGGCCUCCAGUGGUGGCUCUGCAAAGACCCCAGGUCACUCCAUCAGUACCCAUUACUGAGCCUGUCUGAACGGAGGAUGCCUAGGGUGUUUGCCUAAGAGGAGAGACAAGCCACCAUGGUACACGUGAGACGGCCACAGUUUUAACUUUAGGCACAAUCCCACCAUUCCCUUCCCCCUCCCUUUCUUACUUCUUUCUCUUCCUCUUUCCUUUGUCCCCUUCCUUCCUGUUGGUCAUUAAAUAUUUAAAUGUUUCCACACAAGAAGCCUUCUCAUAGGCUAUUAUUGAGCUGGUACCCCUCUGUAUUGCACUUGUAUAAACAUAUCAUGGGGAGUGGGCCGCACUCUACUGAGUACAGUUGGAAGCACGUUCUUGGCUCUGGCUCAGACCCAGUGAGUUGACCUGGUUGAGGUUACAGAGUUCACUGGGGACAAGAUGGCGC